UUUCCGUAGGUGAACCUGCGGAAGGAUCAUUCAUAAUAAGUGUUUUAUGGCACUUUUCUAAAUCCAUAUCCACCUUGUGUGCAAUGUCAGAGUUGAUUUUUCUCUCAAGAGGUUCAGCACUAAAAAUCAACUAUAUCUCAACUCUUUGUCUGAAAAAUAUUAUAAAUAAAACAAUUCAAACUACAACUUUCAACAACGGAUCUCUUGGCUCUC
rnacentral:misc_RNA from 1 species